rnacentral:rRNA from 1 species
GACGAACGCUGGCGGCGUGCCUAAUACAUGCAAGUAGAACGCACAGUUUAUACCGUAGCUUGCUACACCAUAAACUGUGAGUUGCGAACGGGUGAGUAACGCGUAGGUAACCUGCCUGGUAGCGGGGGAUAACUAUUGGAAACGAUAGCUAAUACCGCAUAAUAUUGAUUAUUGCAUGAUAAUUGAUUGAAAGAUGCUAUUGCAUCACUACCAGAUGGACCUGCGUUGUAUUAGCUAGUAGGUGAGGUAACGGCUCACCUAGGCGACGAUACAUAGCCGACCUGAGAGGGUGAUCGGCCGCACUGGGACUGAGACACGGCCCAGACUCCUACGGGAGGCAGCAGUAGGGAAUCUUCGGCAAUGGACGAAAGUCUGACCGAGCAACGCCGCGUGAGUGAAGAAGGUUUUCGGAUCGGAAAGCUCUGUUGUAAGAGAAGAACGGGUGUGAGAGUGGAAAGUUCACACUGUGACGGUAUCUUACCAGAAAGGGACGGCUAACUACGUG